GAAAAUAAUGAUACUCAAAAUGUUGUUAGGGUUGGGAAAAUCAGAGGAGGACCUCAUCAUAAUUGAUAUCUCAAUGUCUACUUUUAUUGUAGAGGUAUCCAGGAUCCUUAAUGUCUUAACAAUAGAGGUAUUAGUAAGAACAAACUAUGUGAAAAUAGUUUGGGCAGAUGCCAAGCCUUUUGUUGCUUACUUAGAUGUAAAGGAGGCUUAUUACAAUGAUGUAGACAUGAGCCAUAUUUAGUUCUUAAAAAGAAGCACACCAAAAGACUCGGGAGGCAUUAACUCACAACUCCCCAAGAGAGGCCCCUACCAUUUUAUGUAAGGUCUGCCUUAUUUUCUAAUCAUGGGUCUUUUCAGGAAGAGAAACAAAAUGAUGUUGCAUAUGAAUCCAUUGAAGAAGAUUUUGCCAAGGCCUUAUUCAUUGUGCCUUAUAAAAGGCCGAUGGGGUAGCACCAUGCAUUUUCCUAAGGCCGAUUCACAGCCUCCCUAGGGGAGACCCAUGGCUUCAAAUAGUUGACCCCACAGCUUUUCUUAGGCUCACCUACAAUCAUUAUAAAGACAAAUCCAACAUAAUGACCAACAUAUUAUAACAUUCAUACAUAAUCAGGUAAACAGAAGGCUAAUGUAAAGAAAGUAGGCCAUUAAGCCACGGUUAAAUAUAAAUAAAAAGCUG
rnacentral:misc_RNA from 1 species